AAGUUGCGGGGCAGCUGGGGUAGCAAUACUCUGAUGGCGACCGGCGCACGGGUGAGUAACGCGUAUCCAACCUGCCAUAUACUACGGGAUAACCCGGGGAAGCUCGGACUAAUACCGUAUGUGGUCGUUUGAUGACAUCAGAUUACGAUUAAAGGUUUAGCGGUAUAUGAUGGGGAUGCGUCUGAUUAGAUAGUUGGUGAGGUAACGGCUCACCAAGUCUUCGAUCAGUAGGGGUUCUGAGAGGAAGGUCCCCCACAUUGGAACUGGAACACGGUCCAAACUCCUACGGGAGGCAGCAGUGGGGAAUAUUGGUCAAUGGGCGGAAGCCUGAACCAGCCAAGUAGCGUGCGGGAUGACGGCCCUAUGGGUUGUAAACCGCUUUUUAUAUGGGGAUAAAGUGAGGUAUGCAUACCUUUUUUGCAGGUACCAUAUGAAUAAGGACCGGCUAAUUCCGUGCCAGCAGCCGCGGUAAUACGGAAGGUCCUGGUGUUAUCCGGAUUUAUUGGGUUUAAGGGAGCGUAGGCUGUUUUAUAAGCGUGUCGUUAAAUCGCGGGGCUCRACCCCGCUAAGCGGCGCGAACUGUAGGACUUGAGUGUGCACGAGGUAGGUGGAAUUUGUGGUGUAGCGGUGAAAUGCUUAGAUAUCACGAAAACUCCGAUUGCGAAGGGACUUACCGGAGCAGACUGACGCUAGGCUCGAGGGUGCGGGUUCGAACAGAUUAAUACCCUGGUAUCCGCGCGGUGACGAGGAGCUCGCCGU
rnacentral:rRNA from 1 species